UGUAGAUUUGACACUGAUGACCUGGC
rnacentral:piRNA from 1 species